rnacentral:rRNA from 1 species
GAUAAACGCUGGCGGCGCACAUAAGACAUGCAAGUCGAACGAACUUAAUACCUUGCUUGCAAGGUAAGCGGUUAGUGGCGGACUGGUGAGUAACACGUAAGAAAUCUGCCUAUCAGAGGGGAAUAACAGUGAGAAAUCACUGCUAAUACCGCAUAUGCCAUAGGAAUCGCAUGAUUCUAGUGGGAAAGGAGCAAUCCGCUGAUAGAUGAGCUUGCGUCUGAUUAGCUAGUUGGUGGGGUAAAGGCCUACCAAGGCGACGAUCAGUAGCCGGACUGAGAGGUUGAACGGCCACAUUGGGACUGAGAUACGGCCCAGACUCCUACGGGAGGCAGCAGUCGGGAAUAUUGCGCAAUGGAGGAAACUCUGACGCAGUGACGCCGCGUAUAGGAAGAAGGUUUUCGGAUUGUAAACUAUUGUCCACAGGGAAGAUAAAAGACUGUACCUGUGAAGAAAGCUCCGGCUAACUACGUGCCAGCAGCCGCGGUAAUACGUAGGGAGCAAGCGUUAUCCGGAAUUAUUGGGUGUAAAGGGUGCGUAGACGGGAUAACAAGUUAGUUGUGAAACCCCCCGGCUCAACUGAGGAACUGCAACUAAAACUAUUAUUCUUGAGUGCAGGAGAGGAAAGUGGAAUUCCUAGUGUAGCGGUGAAAUGCGUAGAUAUUAGGAAGAACACCGGUGGCGAAGGCGACUUUCUGGACUGUAACUGACGUUGAGGCACGAAAGUGUGGGGAGCAAACAGGAUUAGAUACCCUGGUAGUCCACACUGUAAACGAUGGAUACUAGGUGUAGGAGAUAUUAAAGCUUCUGUGCCGUCGCUAACGCAGUAAGUAUCCCACCUGGGGAGUACGACCGCAAGGUUGAAACUCAAAGGAAUUGACGGGGGGCCCGCACAAGCAGUGGAGUAUGUGGUUUAAUUCGAAGCAACGCGAAGAACCUUACCAGGGCUUGACAUACAAGUGAAUGUCUAAGAGAUUAGGCAGUAUUUCGGUACACUUGUACAGGUGGUGCAUGGUUGUCGUCAGCUCGUGUCGUGAGAUGUUAGGUUAAGUCCUGCAACGAGCGCAACCCCUAUACUUAGUUGCCAGCACGUAAAGGUGGGAACUCUAAGUAGACUGCCGGUGAUAAAUCGGAGGAAGGUGGGGACGACGUCAAAUCAUCAUGCCCUUUAUGUCCUGGGCUACACACGUACUACAAUGGCUAUAACAAAGAGAAGCGAGACGGAGACGUUAAGCGAAACCCAAAAAAGUAGUCUCAGUUCGGAUUGAAGGCUGAAAUUCGCCUUCAUGAAGCCGGAAUUGCUAGUAAUGGCAGGUCAGCAUACUGCCGUGAAUACGUUCCCGGGCCUUGUACACACCGCCCGUCACACCAUGAGAGUUGGGAAUACCCGAAGCCUGUGAGCUAACGUAAGAGGCAGCAGUCGAAGGUAGAAUCAAUGAUUGGGGUG